rnacentral:lncRNA from 1 species
AUGCCAAACACCCUCUUAAGACAAUACCUCCGGGGCCCGGGGGCCCGGCCGAGCGCUGCCGCCUCUCCUCGGCCAUAUAUAGGCAAAAGCCGGGGAACCCCUGUCCCCUCCCGGCUGGGAGCCCAGGGAGGCCACGGUGGCCUGGGCCUGACCCUCGCCACCCCGCACCCCCCGAGUGCCCGCCUCCGGCCAGGGGGCCCGGUGGGGAGGUGGCGCGGGGCCUCCCCGGUGCCCCCAGCAGCUCGGCCAGCGGCCGGCGCAGCCUCUGACCAAAUAAGGCUGGGGCCGCGGGGCCUGGACAGGCUCACCGGGGGCGGCGGGCCUCCCCGUCCGCCCUCCUCCCCGCCGUCCUGGCCACGCAGCCGGCCCGCAGGCCUGUCCUUACGCUGUCCCUGGGUGCAGGAGAGCCCGGCCCGAGCGGAGCCGGGGGUGCCCCCGGCGUCACCCGGGAGAGGAGGUUCACUAGGUCCCUUGGAAUGUUCCAUUUGGAACCUUCAGAAGCUCCAUUUAGGAUCUCGAGAGGAAGAUUCCUGCAAUUCCUGGGCAGCUACAGGGGGCCCCCCCACUCCCCCCUCCCAGCUUGGCCAGAGCCGCGGCCUGCCCUCCCCUCCCUGCUCUGCACGCGCACACCUGCCCCUGCACCCUGGGGGGGGGUGUCUGCUGCUUCCCCUCCCCUGUGGCUCACCAGGCACACCCGUCAGCCCUUCCUGGGGCCCGGUCCGUGAGUUCCGAGGGCGAGGCCAGCCAAAGGGCUAUAGGGUGGGGGCGGCCCGGGAACCCUGGGAAAAACUGACCCCUGCUUCCCUGGUUCCACCUGUGCCCAUGGUGAGGUGGGAGUGGAGCCCCGGAGGGAGGACCCAGCUUGAGCAGCCCCCUGAGGAACAGGCACCCUGCAGACAGGGACCUGGAAGAGGGGAUACACCUGCCAGAGGCACAGAGGAGGGCAGGGAGGCUUGUCCUAUUUCAGGAGCCACUGCGUGGCAUGGAGCUCCUGAGCCUGCCCGCCUUGGUUCCAGCAAGCAACUUCUUCUCUUCUUGGAACCUCAGUUUUUCCAUCCUGGAAAUGGGUAUAAUACACACCCUACCUACAUCAGGGGCAGCUGCAGGGAUUCAAUGGGAUAA